CACGCAGGUGGUUUGGCACGUGGGGUGUGAAAGCUCUCGGCUUAACUGAGAGAGGCCACCUCAUACGGCCAAGCUCGAGCCCUGCAGAGGUCCACGGAAUUGCCGGUGUAGUGGUGAAAUGCGUAGAGAUCGGCAGGAACACCCAGGGGGAAACCAGUGGACUGGGCAGGCGCUGACACUGAGGUGCGAAAGCGUGGGGAGCGAACC
rnacentral:rRNA from 1 species